rnacentral:rRNA from 1 species
GAUGAACGCUGGCGGCGUGCCUAACACAUGCAAGUCGAACGAGGCAAAUAAGUUGAAGUUUUCGGAUGGAUUCUUAUUUACCGAGUGGCGGACGGGUGAGUAACGCGUGGGUAACCUGCCUCAUACAGGGGGAUAACGGUUAGAAAUGACUGCUAAUACCGCAUAAGCGCACAGUACCGCAUGGCACGGUGUGAAAAACUCCGGUGGUAUGAGAUGGACCCGCGUCUGAUUAGCUAGUUGGUGAGGUAACGGCCCACCAAGGCGACGAUCAGUAGCCGACCUGAGAGGGCGAUCGGCCACAUUGGAACUGAGACACGGUCCAA